AGAGUGUCGUCCGCCGGGACUGGUGGGGAGGUGUCCUGGGAUUUGGCGGCGGCUGGCGCCGAGCGUGGACCGAGUGUGGAGGCGAGCGGCCGCCAAUUUGGUCUUGAUGUUUGACCGUGGAGAUGUGAACUGAGCCUUCCUGAGCCUUCCUACCGAAGACCAGGUGAGGGCUCUCUCCCAGAUGGGCAACCCAGUGGAAAUAAAUGAAGACAUUCCACCCCAAUCGGUACUUUCGCUCUGGAGUCGAGGUGAUCAGAAUGGCCUCCAUUUACUCUGAGGAAGGCAACACUGAACAUGCCUUCAUCCUUUUUAACAAGCACAUCAUAUUUUUCCUUUGGUCAUUAUCUACUGCUGUGGGGAAAGUGAAGGUUCCUGUAGCCAGGAUUCUGAACAACUGCUUUCUCUGCCUUCCUCCUCAGAGUGUGGGUCCUAACACUCGUCAGCUGUAACCCACUGAUCCUGGAGCCCUGCUGGUGUCACGGCAGCGCGCCGCGAUGGCCUCCAGAGUCACUCUCCCCCAGCGCCUCCGCUGCAGCCCCGCCGGCCCUCUGCUCACACGCGCGCGCGCACACCCUCCCGCCCUCGCUACCCGGAGGCUGCGUAGGCCGCCGAGCCCCCGCCGCCCAGGCGCGCGUCCGGGAGAAGCUCGGGGAACCUCUGCGGGGCUGUGGCCAGGGCCGGGCCAGCAGGUCGGCCGGGGAGGCAGCGGGAGCGGACGGCUGGGGCCACCGGGACGAGCGAGGCGGGCGCGGGCGCGGGGGGCGCGCGAGGGAAGGCCUCCCGCCCGGCCUCGCUUGCACGCCCGCGCCUCCUUCCCCAGGAUGCGGCGGCCCGCCUCGCCCCCCGCGCAGCCUCCGCCGCCCCCUCCGCCGAGGUUCCCUGAAGGCCUGCGCCCGGCGGCGAGAGCACAGGCACCGGGGCGUCCCUGCAGCGAGUGACCGACGACGGCCCGGCGCGCCCGCCCCUCGCCGCCGCCUGGCACUGCUCCGGGGCCCCCUCGGCCCUGCCCGCGCGCAACCCCGCAUGGCGCUCCUGUAAUUGGAACAUGGCUCCCUGGAAUUGGCACGGCCCAUGGAGGAAGCUUGUGUACAGGACGUGGGGCCUGCACCUGUGUGGGAGCCUCACCCCCAGACUGCAUGUUGAUCUCGAAGAUUCCUGGCAGCGAUUCUGAGAGGGGAGCGAGGAUGUCGGCUUGGCUCCCCUUGUGCACUAGCAGGAAAACCGGAGGUCGGGGCGCCGUCUUAUCCCAGCGGAUUCGGCUCCAAACUACAUUUCCCCGGAGCCCCCGGGGGACCUGGGCUGCCUUUUCACUUGCCUGCGGCGCGCUCGGACUCCGGAGAAGAGGAAGUGCAAGGUGAGCGGCCUAGGUCCUGGGGUCUCGACUUGAUUGUUCCGGCUCGUCCCUGGGGUUCGACUGGAACUGUCCGACCGGGUCUGGAAUCUCCGCCCUGUAUCUGGAAUCAAUGUAUGAAACCAAGGUAUUAUCUCCAAAGAAGAAAGUUAAUGGAAGAGAAUCAUGCCAGAGGGAGUUAAUGGGACUUACAAAGCAUGGUCUUGAGUACUCCAACUUUAGAGAUGUGUUGGAAUCCAGAAGCCACUUUGAAAGACAACUAGGGUAUCAAAAUGGGCAUAUCAUCCAAGAAGUACUCACUCAUGAAAUACCCACAUUUAUUCAACAGACAUUCCUUACACCUCAUCAGAUAACUGUAAAUGAAGAAAAACCCUAUGAAUGCAAGAAAUGUGGAAAGGUCUUUAGUCAGAAUUCACAAUUUAUUCAACAUCAGAGAAUUCAUAUUGGUGAAAAAUCUUAUGAAUAUAAGGAGUGUGGGAAAUUUUUUAGUGGUGGCUCACGUGUUACUCAAUGUCUGGUGAAUAAGCCCUUUGAAUGUAAGGAUUGUGGAAAGGCCUUCAGUUAUAACUCACACCUUUCUCAACAUCAGAGAAUGCAUACUGAUAAGAAACCCUGUGAAUGUAAGGAAUGUGGGAAGGCCUUUAGGUACUACUCAAAUUUUAUGGACCAUCAGAGAAUUCACUCUGGUGAAAACCCCUAUAAAUGUAAAGUAUGUGGGAAAGCCUUUACUAAGAGCUCACAACAUUUCCUACAUGUGCGAGUUCAUAUAGGUGAAAAGCCAUAUGAAUGUAAGAAAUGUGGCAGAGUUUUUACUGAGAACUCAAAGCUUGUUCAGUAUCAGAGAAUUCAUACUGGUGAGAAACCCUAUGUGUGCAAGGAAUGUGGCAAAGCCUUUAGUUAUGCCUCAGCACUUACUAAUCAUUAGAGAAUUCACACUGGAGAGAAACCCUAUGAUUGUAAGGAAUGUGGGAAGGCUUUUACUCAGAGUUCACAACUUCUUCAUCAUCAGAGAAUUCAUGCUAGUGAGAAACCCUUUGAAUGUCUUCAGUGUGGGAAGGCCUUCACUCAGAACUCCCAACUUCUUCAACAUCAGAGAAUUCAUACAGAUGAAAAGCCAUAUGAAUGUAGUGAAUGUGGAAAGGCCUUUAAUAAAUGCUCAAACCUUACUUGACAUCUGCGAAUUCAUACUGGUGAAAAGCUCUAUAACUGUAAAGAAUGUGGAAAGGCAUUUAGUAGUGGUUCAAAUCUCAUUCGUCACCAGGGAAUUCAUACUGAUGAAUAGUAAAGUUUAAAGCUCUUGUCAUCUUUCUAAUAUUUUAAACAAAAAAAUUCAUGUUACCUUCUUUCACUAUUUUUUGCUUACAGAUAUAAAUUGACAUUUGCCUGUUCGGCCCACUUCCAAACCUUGUACUAAUGGCAGUUGUUGAAAUAACUAUCUUCUCUGUUAUUUUGGUCUAUCUUCUUGGUGAUAUGUUAUAUUCUUUUUUAUAUAUUUGCUUGUGUUUUGGGGCUGUCUCUUCUUUGAUCUCUAUAUUUGUGCUUACACCAACUUCACUCUGUUUAAAUUGUGUGACCUUGUAUUUUUUAAAUCUUUGUAGAAAUUAUAACUUUGUUUUUGAA